rnacentral:rRNA from 1 species
UACGUAGGGUGCGAGCGUUGUCCGGAAUUAUUGGGCGUAAAGGGCUCGUAGGCGGUCUGUCGCGUCGGGAGUGAAAACCCAGGGCUCAACCCUGGGCCUGCUUCCGAUACGGGCAGACUAGAGGUAUGCAGGGGAGAAUGGAAUUCCUGGUGUAGCGGUGAAAUGCGCAGAUAUCAGGAGGAACACCGGUGGCGAAGGCGGGUCUCUGGGCCAAAACUGACGCUGAGGAGCGAAAGCGUGGGGAGCGAACAGG